rnacentral:rRNA from 1 species
ACGGGAGGCAGCAGUGGGGGAUAUUGCACAAUGGGGGAAACCCUGAUGCAGCGACGCCGCGUGAGUGAAGAAGUAUUUCGGUAUGUAAAGCUCUAUCAGCAGGGAAGAAAAUGACGGUACCUGACUAAGAAGCUCCGGCUAAAUACGUGCCAGCAGCCGCGGUAAUACGUAUGGAGCAAGCGUUAUCCGGAUUUACUGGGUGUAAGGGGAGCGUAGACGGCGAGGCAAGUCUGAUGUGAAAGCCAUGGGCUCAACCCAUGAACUGCAUUGGAAACUGUCUUGCUAGAGUGUCGGAGAGGUAAGCGGAAUUCCUAGUGUAGCGGUGAAAUGCGUAGAUAUUAGGAGGAACACCAGUGGCGAAGGCGGCUUACUGGACGAUAACUGACGUUGAGGCUCGAAAGCGUGGGGAGCAAACAGGAUUAGAUACCCUGGUA